CCUACGGGAGGCAGCAGUGAGGAAUUUUGCGCAAUGGGGGAAACCCUGACGCAGCAACGCCGCGUGAGUGAUGAAGGCUUUCGGGUCGUAAAGCUCUGUCAAGUGGGAAGAAACUGCCCCGUGCUAAUAUCACGGGACACUGACGGUACCGCUGAAGGAAGCACCGGCUAACUCCGUGCCAGCAGCCGCGGUAAUACGGGGGGUGCAAGCGUUAUUCGGAAUCAUUGGGCGUAAAGGGCGCGUAGGCGGUCUCUUAAGUCAGGUGUGAAAGCCUUCCGCUUAACGGAAGAAGUGCACUUGAAACUAAGGGACUUGAGUAUGGGAGAGGGAAGUGGAAUUCCUGGUGUAGCGGUGAAAUGCGUAGAUAUCAGGAGGAACACCGGUGGCGAAGGCGACUUCCUGGACCAAUACUGACGCUGAGGCGCGAAGGCGUGGGGAGCAAACAGGAUUAGAUACCCUGGUAGUCCACGCAGUAAACGGUGAACACUAGGUGUAGUGGGUAUUGACCCCUGCUGUGCCGCAGUUAACGCAUUAAGUGUUCCGCCUGGGGAGUACGACCGCAAGGUUAAAACUCAAAGGAAUUGACGG
rnacentral:rRNA from 1 species